rnacentral:rRNA from 1 species
UGCCUUUUUUAUUUUAAUAAAAAGAGUAUAUUAGGUUUAACUUUAUAUAUUAUUUUUAUUAAAUUAAGAAUUCAAUACCUUUGAAUGUAAUUCUAGAUAAAAUAUUGAUAAUGACAAAGUUUUAUCUAUAUGUCUUGACCAAAUCUUGUGCCAGCAGUCGCGGCAACACAAGGAAGACAAGUGUUAUUCAUCUUAAAUCGGUUUAAAGGGUACCUAGACGGUGAAUUAGGCCUUAAAUGGAACGUUUUUACUAGAGUUAUAUAUGCAUGAGGACUGUGUGAGUAUUACCAGAGUAGAGAUGUAAUUUUUUGAUACUGUUAAGACUGGUAAAGGCAAAAGCAAACCUUUAUAUAUUAACUGACGUUGAGGGACGAAGGCUUGGGGCGCAAACAGGAUUAGAUACCCCAGUA